AUUGAACGCUGGCGGCAUGCCUAACACAUGCAAGUCGAGCGUGCGGCGGGCGGUUGAGUACGGUCUGGGAACCCGCCUGUUGGAGGCGCAUCACUACUGGAAACCGUAGCGAAUACCGCACACCAUCAGAUGUGCCGAGGCGGGAUUAGCUAGUAGGUGAGGUAACGGCUCACUUAGGUGACGAUCCCUAGCGGGUCUGAGAGGUUGAUCAGCCACACUGGAACUGAGACACGGUCCAGACUCCUACGGGAGGCAGCAGUGGGGAAUAUUGGGCAAUGGGCGAAAGCCUGAUACAGCCAUGCCGCGUGUAUGAAGAAGGCUUUCGGGUAGUAAAGUUCUUUUGUCAGAGAAGCGUUACCCACAGAGAAAGCAACGGCUAACUCCGUGCCAGCAGCCGCGGUAAUAC
rnacentral:rRNA from 1 species